rfam:Dipodomys ordii contig_15537, whole genome shotgun sequence.
GGUGGCUUAGUGGUAGAGCUCUUGCCUUGCAUGCAUGAGGCCCUGGGUUCAAUUCCUCAGCACCA